GGACACCACUGCUAAACCAGUUCAAUCUUCCAAGGCUGUUGCUGUUAUAAAGAAUCUAGUGAUAGCUCAGAUUCUGACUCAGAUUCAGAUUCUGAAGAAGAUACCACUGCUAACACAGUUUCUGUAAAGAAAGAAGAAUCUAGUGGUAGCUCAGAUAAUGACUCGGAUUCAGAUUCUGAUGAACCAGCAAAAUGUACUAUUCCUUCUAAGAGGCCUCUGACAACAGAGAAAAAGAGUGAAUAUGUAUGCAUUAUUUUUUAAAUUUUAUUUUCUUGAAAGCAUUGUCUUCUGUGAUAUUUUUUGUACAAUUGAUCUUGUUGUAAUUCAACAUU